rnacentral:tRNA from 1 species
GGCGCCCGGCGAGGUGACGAUCAGCGGUUCCGACCCGCUGUUCGUAUCGCCGUUCCGCAUCGGCCGGACGCUC